AGUGAACGCUGGCGGUAGGCCUAACACAUGCAAGUCGAACGGCAGCACAGUAAGAGCUUGCUCUUACGGGUGGCGGGUGUCGGACGGGUGAGGAAUACAUCGGAAUCUACUUUUUCGUGGGGGAUAACGUAGGGAAACUUACGCUAAUACCGCAUACGACCUACUGGUGAAAGCAGGGGAUCUUCUGACCUUGCGCGAUUGAAUGAGCCGAUGUCGGCUUAGCUAGUUGGCGGGGUAAAGGCCCACCAAGGCGACGAUCCGUAGCUGGUCUGAGAGGAUGAACAGACAGACUGGAACUGAGACACGGUCCAGACACCUACGGGAGGCAGCAGUGGGGAAUAUUGGACAAUGGGCGCAAGCCUGAUCCAGCAAUACCGCGUGGGUGAAGAAGGACUUCGGGUUGUAAAGCCCUUUUGUUGGGAAAGAAAAGAAGCAGGUUAAUACCACGCUGUUAUGACGGUACCCAAAGAAUAAGCACCGGCUAACUUCGUG
rnacentral:rRNA from 1 species